UGAAAAUUGGAUUUUAGAAGAAGCCAUUCCUCCUAAAAAGGAAGAGUCAAAUGAUCUUGAGUCUAUUAUAGAAACAAAUAAUGGAACUGUAGCAAUAUCUUUUGCUAGGACAAGAUCAAAAACAGCCAAGACCCUUAUGACCUAUAAAGGGUAUCAGAUUCCUCUCAGUCUAAAAGGACAAGUCUCUAUCAACCAUCCACUAUCUCUUGUCUGUCACUUAAAGUGACGCAUGCCAUGACGACUAAAGAUUCCUUCUAACUUCUAUAAGAAGGCCUCCCGACUUGCUAAAGAAGUAGAUGUAAGAUAGAUUGUAAAAUAAGUUUUAAAAAGUUUACUCUCAACUUUCUUUGUAAGUUUUCAACUUCUGCCUUAUGUUCUAAGUGUUCUAAGUGUGUACUGUUUCCAAAUCAAUAAAAUAUAUGGUAUUUUCUUCAUCUCAAUCUUCUUUUCCAAAGUUAGAAAAAGAAUUAGAUGUUUUAAUUAAUCAAGCUAAGGAGCUAAACCAAGAAAUUGAAACACUGUCCCUAAGCACUGUGGAUCUUCUUGGACAACCAUCUGGUAAGUACGAUUAUUGGGUUUACUAUUCACCUCCACCAUCUGCUAAUAUUUCUAUUGAGUCUAUCACACCUACCGGUUGGGAAGAAGACUGUAGCUAUAUAAGUAUCACUGUUCAAUUUACUGUUUAAAUAUUAUUUGAAGCACUGUAAGCAUUAUUACUAUUUAAGUAUGCUCUGCACUUGCCCUUAAAGGGAUCCUGUGCAUCAGAAAACUGUUCAUGUCUACUUAUAUUAAUCGUCUUUUAUUUUAUUUACGUUGUCUUGAUUUAACCAAUAGAUCUGAAGUAGAAUAGCUUAGAGCAGCAUUAGUAGAAAAUGGUAAUGAUUUGUGUAAUCAGCAUCUAGAGAUACAUAAUGAGUUUUGUGAUUAUAGAGAACAUGAGAGAUUAUUAGUUUUGUUUAGAGUUAUAAUAAAUCUUUUAGAUAUUUGGCCAAGAAAUAAUAGUUUUUAAAUAUAUAUUUCUUCAUAUUAAGUUUCUCAUCAUGUUUGUCAUCAUAAACAGUAGUAUAUCGGCUGGAAACUAAUGUGACUUUAAGUCAAAUGCAGGAGAGAAAGGAUUGAGAGGCAGACAGAGUCUCUACCAAUAGCAUCAGUUAAGGAACGACUAGUUGAGGGGGUUAAUACCCAUGAUAUUUUUAUCAUUGUUGGUGAAAGUGGAAGUGGAAAAACAACUCAAUUACCUCAGUUUUUAUUCAGUGCUGGGUUCUGUCAAGAUGGAAAAGUUAUUGGGAUAACUCAACCUAGGCGUGUUGCGGCGGUCACCGUGGCAAAACGGGUGGCGGAGGAAUGUGAGGUUGAAUUGGGGCAAAAGGUUGGAUAUUCCAUCAGGUUCGAUGACAAAACUUCUAGCUUUACAAGGAUUAAGUACAUGACUGAUGGAUUGCUACUCAGGGAAGCAUUGUUGGAUCCUUACCUCUCUAGAUAUUCAGUCAUCAUUGUGGAUGAAGCUCAUGAGAGAUCAGUCCACACUGACGUUUUGCUAGGAUUGCUAAAAAGUGUGCAAAAUGUGAGGUCAAACUUCAUGAAGGACCAUGAUAAUAUGGAUGACAAGAAGUCAAACAAUAGGGCAAUGAAGGGGACAGGAACUGGUACUCAAUGUACUAGUUUUCUCAAGCAAUGCCAUGGUAGAAAAUUCCCUCCGUUAAAGCUAAUCAUAAUGUCCGCCAGCUUGGAUGCUCGUGUUUUCUCUGAGUACUUUGGUGGUGCCAGAGCUAUUCAUAUUGAAGGGCGCCAACAUCAAGUUGAUAUACUGUAUACUCUUCAUCCUGAGCCAGAUUAUCUUGAUGCGACCUUGGUUACUAUAUUCCAGAUUCAUUUGGAGGAGACCCCUGGUGAUAUACUUGUAUUUCUAACUGGGCAAGAAGAGAUUGAAUCUGUUGAAAGACUUGUGCAAGAACAACUUCAUAAAUUACCUGAAGCCAAUCGAAAGUUGUUAAUUGUCCCCAUGUUUUCAUCCCUUCCAUCGGAGCAGCAGAUGCGGGUUUUCAUGCCAGCUUCAGCUGGGCAUCGUAAGGUAAUAUUGGCCACAAAUAUUGCUGAGACGUCAGUGACGAUACCUGGAAUCAAAUAUGUUAUAGACCCAGGAUUUGUAAAAGCACGUUCCUAUGAUCCAGUCAAAGGAAUGGAAUCAUUGAUAAUUGUUCCAACUUCAAAAGCUCAGGCUCUUCAAAGGAGUGGACGUGCAGGGCGUGAAGGACCUGGGAAGUGCUUUCGUCUCUAUCCAGAGCGUGAAUUUGAGAAACUUGAGGAUUCAACAAAGCCAGAGAUCAAGCGGUGCAACCUCUCAAAUGUCAUCUUGCAGCUGAAGGCUCUAGGUGUUGAUGAUAUCAUUAGAUUUGAUUUCAUGGAAAAGCCAUCUAGGGCAGCUAUCAUCAAAUCGUUGGAGCAUCUGUUUCUGCUUGGUGCUUUGACAGAUGACUGUAAGUUGUCAGAGCCUAUUGGGCAUCAAAUGGCUCGGCUUCCCUUAGAUCUUAUUUAUUCCAAAGCUCUCAUCCUAGCUAGUCAGUUCAAUUGCUUGGAAGAAAUGUUGAUAACUGUUGCGAUGCUCUCAGUGGAAUCUAUUUUUUAUGCCCCUCGCGAGAAGAAGGAUGAGGCGAGAACUGCAAUGAAGUGCUUUGCAAGUCCAGAUGGAGACCAUCUUACUUUAGUUAACGUAUAUCGGGCAGUAGAUAGACUUUUAGAAAAGAGAAAGAUGGAAGUCGUUAAUGAAAAAAAUCUCCAUGGAAAAAAUGAAAAAUUUCUGAGAAAAUGGUGCAAAGAAAAUUUUAUUAAUGGUCGAUCCCUGAGGCAUGCUUAUGACAUUCACAGUCAAAUUCGAGGGCAUGUUGAACAAAUGGGUCUUUGUAUUUCGUCCUGUGGAGAUGACCCUCUUCAAUUCCGCAGAUGCCUUGCUGCUUCAUUUUUCGUUAAUGCAGCUUUGAAGCAGCCUGAGGGAACAUACAGGUAUUGAAUUUGCAUUGAUAUAACAUCUGAAAUUCAUGUGGCUGGUCCUUCAAUUUUUAUUACCUGUUUAUACCCUUUAACAGGAUUUGUAACUAGUCAGUCACUAUAUCCAACCAUCUGUUGUUAUCCUCCUAUUUUACUUGAACCUUCUCACAGUUGCUGAACUAAAUGGCAGGGCUUUGGCAAGUGGACAGGUAGUGCAGAUUCACCCUUCUUCUGUGUUAUUCCAGUCAAAGGCAGAAUGCAUAAUUUUCAAUGAACUAGUCCAAACCACUAAUAAGUACAUCCGCAACAUAACUAGAAUCGAUUAUUUAUGGUUGACUGAGCUUGCUCCACACUAUUAUGCCAUGCAGAGUUAAAAUUUUUUGGUAUGAAUUCUCACAGCUAAUAUAUUAAUCUGAUUAUUUCAAUUAUAUGGUCAUUUGCUUGAAUGCUUUUCUUGAACUUAUUUAUCCUUGGUUGAAACUCUCUUCUGGAUAAUUUAAAUCAAGUACUGUGAAUUGUCAAUCCGGUAGCUAAUUGUGGGCUGAUUCCUCAUUUUUUACUCUGCAGCUGCAAAUAGCAGGAAAGGAAGAUCUUUGUUUCUUACUAUUGAGGGUGAUGAUUGAUAAUGCAUCCAAGCAACGUGAUUUAUCGUCUGCAUCUUCUUGUCCAUUUCUUUGGACAUUGGUAGAGGAGGGGAAUAGCAGAAUUUUAGGAUUCUCACUUUCAACCCUUAUCUGGUUGGUGCUGUGACUAUUUGUCAUUAGCAGUAUCCUACAGAGAAAAUUGUCAAUUCCCUGUGGACUUUGCCGGCCAAUACAAGGAAGGAUGCUGAUGCUGUUUUAAUUUUGCCUUCAUUUUGAAUUUCUAUGAUGGAGAGCCUAGUUGUUGAAAAUCAGCUCCAGUCAUGACUACAUCGAGUGGAGGAUGCAUGUAGAUUUCAUUCUGAAUUUUGUUGACGUGGGGGAGCCCUAUGAGAGCAUAGACCGAGUCCCAAUUCACCAUUUGGGUUCAGUGGUGCUACUAUUUUUAACCCGGUAAAUCCACACCCAACACCUCCCACCCCUCCUCUUCCUCUCCUCCUUCCCUUCUCUCUGUAUAAUUUCAUGUUAUGUUACUUUGUUACCAUUUAAGAUGCUUUUCAUCAUGAUUUAUAGCCAACUCAGUGUAUAAAACUUGAUGAUGUUCUUGGAUGGUUAUGUAUGUGUCUUGCAUUGAUUGGUAGUUGAAAAUUUCCAACAUGUCUUUUAUCCAUUGUUUUUUUUCUUCAGGAAGGGGCUUUCUGAACUUGUAAUUGAAUGCCAAAAAUCUAUUAAACCUAAUCACA
rnacentral:misc_RNA from 1 species